CUUGUAGCUCAACUGGAUAGAGCGACAGACUUCGGAUCUGUAGGCUGAGGGUUCGAGCCCUUCCAGG
rnacentral:tRNA from 1 species